GACGAACGCUGGCGGCGUGCUUAACACAUGCAAGUCGAACGGAAAGGCCCUGCUUGCAGGGUGCUCGAGUGGCGAACGGGUGAGUAACACGUGGGUGAUCUGCCCCUUACUUUGGGAUAAGCCUGGGAAACUGGGUCUAAUACUGGAUAGGACCAUGCUGUAGGUGGUGUGGUGGAAAGAUUUUUUCGGUAAGGGAUGAGCUCGCGGCCUAUCAGCUUGUUGGUGGGGUAAUGGCCUACCAAGGCGUCGACGGGUAGCCGGCCUGAGAGGGUGGACGGCCACAUUGGGACUGAGAUACGGCCCAGACUCCUACGGGAGGCAGCAGUGGGGAAUAUUGCACAAUGGGCGCAAGCCUGAUGCAGCGACGCCGCGUGGGGGAUGACGGCCUUCGGGUUGUAAACCCCUUUCAGCCAUGACGAAGCCUCUUUUGGGGUGACGGUAGUGGUAGAAGAAGCACCGGCUAACUACGUGCCAGCAGCCGCGGUAAUACGUAGGGUGCGAGCGUUGUCCGGAAUUACUGGGCGUAAAGAGCUCGUAGGUGGUCUGUCGCGUCAUUUGUGAAAGCCCGGUGCUUAACUCCGGGUUGGCAGGUGAUACGGGCAUGACUGGAGUACUGUAGGGGAGACUGGAAUUCCUGGUGUAGCGGUGAAAUGCGCAGAUAUCAGGAGGAACACCGGUGGCGAAGGCGGGUCUCUGGGCAGUAACUGACGCUGAGGAGCGAAAGCAUGGGUAGCGAACAGG
rnacentral:rRNA from 1 species